rnacentral:lncRNA from 1 species
UGAUUGUUACUAAUGUUAUAUGAAUGCUUUGACAAGAUUGUUUUAAACUAUUUUAAACAUUUCUUGUUGAUAAGCUGAUCAUAUAAUGUAAGUUGUCUGAUUUUUGUGAUAAGAAUUAUUAUUAAGAUGUUAAGGUAUUGAGGUGUUGUUUUAAUAUUUAUAGUCAGUUUUCAUAUGUUUUAUUUUUUUUUUUUUAGGUGCUUGAUUGUAAGAUGUAUUUUUCAGGAUCCUGUGUGUUUGAUUUUUUAACUACUCAUGUGUUUUCUUUAUUCAAUCUUCUAUGCAGCUGCAGUUCACCUUCUUUUAAAAAUUUAUAGUCCAAGUUCUGGUUCAAGAUUUCAGACUUCAAAUUUUCAGAUUUUUGAAGAAAAGGUUUGUUGUAUUUAGAGAAUUUUUGUUUUAAAAAGAAAUUUUAAACAGGUUCAAUUAUUUGAUGUUUUGAUAAAUUGUUAAUAAUAAGGUUUUUCACUUAUAACUGUUAUUUUUAAGACUUUUGUUUUAAACAUAUCCUCCAAUUAGAGUUCGAGCUCUGGCCAGGCUCUGGCUCUACGUGGAUGGUGUGAUUGAUCCAGGUGUUUUCUGCAUCAAAAAAGUAUUCAAGUCCUUUUGGCUUGACAAUUUGACCAUACAGGACAGCUGAGCCUCAAAGGGAGUUUGGAGAAACAUGAUCCGGACAUGUUUUAUCCAAAUCUCUGUUGUUUUAAGGUUUUUCAGCUGCUGCAGACUCUGGGAUGACAAUUUGAUAGUGUAGCACUUGAUAACUGUGAUUUUAUAUGUAAUAUUGAUUGUGUAUUAUUUGAUUGAUUUUUAUUUGUUGUUAGUUUCUUUACUAUGUGCAUUGUUUUGUUCUUAAUGUUUUUUCAUGUUUAUAACAAAGAUGUUGAUAUUUCCAUUUCUUCAUGCAAGUUUUAGGGAACAGAAUUGAGAGAGGACCCUCCAGUCCCAGUGGGGGUGUUGGGUUUGUUUGUGUUUUAACAGGUGCAGAAUCUAGAUGGAUUUCAGUGAAGAAUGUGGAACUUAUCAAUUGCAAGAGGGCACUGAUCUCUCCACAAGUGGAUCAGAGGAUGCACAGCAAAAGUGGAUUGUGCAAAGAUUUGUGUUUCACCCACAAAAGAUCGUGGGCUUUGAGGUUUUUUUUUAAGUGUGUUUUUAAUGAUGUUAUAGAAUUUUUUUUUGCUAAGUUUUAAUAAGUUUUAGUAAUGCCUGUGAUUUUUCUGUUCAUCUUGCCAUUGUCUUUCAAUGGCAAAAGAAAAAGAGGGAGGUCCCAACGUGGAUCAACAGAAAUUCUACUUGAGUGAGUGUUUUUACCCGUCCGACCAAGACGUCUGGGCAGGACAGAUGCUCUUGCUGCAUUGAUACGAAAAGGCAGAAACAGAAUUUUAAAAAUAGAUGAAAAAGAUAUCAACCCGCAGUGAUAACAACGUGAACAACAACAGUUUGCCUGGAACAUCCCUGAUGAAUCCAGUUCUGAUGAAAAUUAAUUUUGUAGAGUACAGAAAAAUAAGUUGAAAUAUUAUAAGUGUGAAGUUAGUUUUAUCAGAAGUUAGUUUAUUAGAAGUUAUAGUUUAUGUUUAGAAUUAAGAUUGUUUCUUUCAUGUUAGACAGGGCAUUCAAGAACCUGAGAAGAAUGUGGUGGGCCUCAAUGUUUUUAUUUCGUACUUGUUUAAUUGGAGUCUCGUUGGGUCCCAUUGCAGAGUUCAAAACUUGGACCCGAGCUCAAAUAAAUUUAAAUAGCACUCUGGGAGCGCAAGCUGUUGCAUUUGUGCAAAACCUUAAAUUUACUGAUGACAGUUUUCAAGAAUUUGGUCUUUUGGGUUCUGUCCCAGGAAAUUACUGUUUGAUAUUUGGAUCUUAUGCUACCAAACCAACUCAAGAACAUGGAAAAUUGACAGAUGACGACACUUGGUUGUCUCCCAGAUCACCAUUGUAUUACAACUAUUUAGAAUAUUGUAACAAUUCGACUCCAAGAGGUAGUGCAGGAAAACUGCCCCCAGGAACCUUCCUCAUUUGUGGGGACCGAGCCUGGUCAGCAGUCCCUCAAAAUGCUAGAGGAGGCCCAUGUUAUAUCGGUAGGUUGAUGCUUUUUGUUCCCACCAUACAGCAGGUUCUCGAAUUGCCUCAGAAGACUCAACGAGCCAAACGCAGUGUUCUCCAAAUGGACACUUCAUUUGAUAACUGGCUCAAUUCUUUAGGUUUUUCUGGCUGGUGUGUGCAAAAAUUAGUUCAUUGCGCCUUCACUCCAGCCUGAGUAGCUCAAAAGAAAAAGAGGGAAUUGUUGCAGCAUUUUUGAGAGAAAGAGGGCAUGAAUUGUGAAAGUUGAGCUACUCCAGUCUAGGCCUCAGAUUGAGGCCUGGUGGGGCCUUCAAAGCCUCUGACGCAGUUAGAAAUUCAGAGCUUGUGGCGCAGAUAGAAAAUAGUCUUAAGGUGUUGUGGGGACCACUGGGUGUGAACUAGUAUAGGUUUUAUGGUGUAAAGUGUAGGCCGUUUUAAGGAAAAGGUAAACAAUGUUAGCCUACCAAUCAGAGUGUCUUUGUUUCUGUAAACUAUGUGGAAGCUUAUA